rnacentral:rRNA from 1 species
UACGUAGGGGGCUAGCGUUGUUCGGAUUUACUGGGCGUAAAGGGCGCGUAGGCGGUUUCGCACGUGGGAGGUGAAAUCCCUCGGCUUAACCGAGGAACUGCCCUCCAAACUGCGUUGCUUGAGGCCGGGAGAGGUGAGUGGAAUUCCCAGUGUAGCGGUGAAAUGCGUAGAUAUUGGGAGGAACACCAGUGGCGAAGGCGGCUCACUGGACCGGUUCUGACGCUGAGGCGCGAAAGCGUGGGGAGCAAACGGG